AUGAGCACACAAACAAGUACAACAACAACAACAACAACACACACACACACACACACACACACACACACACACACACACAUUCACAGAUACACUCACAUAGACACACAUACACCCACUCACAGACACACACCCAUACACAUACCUACUCAUAGACACAAUCACACAAACAGACACAUUCACAGACACAUUCACACAGACAGACAGACAGAUAGACACACACACACACACACACACACACACACACACACACACACACCCUGCCCUAAAGUGCUGUGCAAUUCUAGGGCUCUGGCCAGACUUGACUACCACCAUCUUGAGUGGAAGUGUUGUUUUUACUAGUUAUACAGGCACACAUUCCAAGUCCUACAAGAUAAACAAAAUCAUUAAGCUUGUCACCUGAGCAUUUCUGCAUCAUGCCCCAACUAUUUCUUGACUGAUGUCUGACAGGUUAAUAGGUACAUUCUGGUUGACUGCCUGAUAAACAUCUUGCUCCUGCUGUGGGGUGCAGGAACUCUCCCAAGUGGCACUUUGGUCCAUAGGACACCAACACAUUGCACUUUAUACAAUUUUAAAUUUGUCUGCUCUAUUGACACCUGCGUUUGGUGGCUGGUGCUCAUAUACAGGAACUAGAUUUUUCUGCAAUAGCAGUACAGUGAGCAUGAGGUUAUACAUGAUUCAACAGGGAAAAUUAAAGAUCGGAGAGCUAUUGUCUUAGUAAAUUUGGGCAAAUCCCUGGUACAGCCUGGGGACAAGAAACAAAUACCCGAGACAAAACAAAAGUAUCUGUUCUAGUUUGGUUCAUGUUACUAUGAUAAAACACUACCCUGAAACAACUUGGGAAGCAAGGGGUUUACUUGUCUUUCACUUCCAGAUUACAGUUCAACACUGAAGGAAGCCAAAAUAGGAACUAAGGCACAGACUGAAGCAGAGACAGUGGAAUUACUGGCUUGCACUCUUCGGUCCACAUUUAGCUAUCUUCUUUAUAGUUCCUAUGUUACGAUAAAUCUUUCUGCCAAAAGCCGCCGAGCCCCACCACCAUGUUUGAGCUUUACGCCAGCCACCCGCCCGAGUUAGGCCCAAAUGAAUACACAGAAACUUGUAUUAGGUACAAUGCUGCUUGGCCAAUGAGUAGGAUUCUCAAUUUCCUCUCUUA
rnacentral:lncRNA from 1 species